rnacentral:rRNA from 1 species
AGCAGCAGCCACGGGAACACCGAGGAUGCAAGCGUUAUCCGGAAUGAUUGGGCGUAAAGUGUCUGUAGGUGGCUUUUCAAGUCCGCCGUCAAAUCCCAGGGCUCAACCCUGGACAGGCGGUGGAAACUACCAAGCUGGAGUAUGGUAGGGGCAGAGGGAAUUUCCGGUGGAGCGGUGAAAUGCGUUGAGAUCGGAAAAAACACCAACGACGAAAGCACUCUGCUGGGCCGACACUGACACUUAGAGACGAAAGCUAGGGGAGCAAAUGGGAUUAGAUACCCCGGUAGUCCCUGUCUCUUAUAC